GUGUCCUGUCCCAGGUGCAGCUGCAGGAGUCAGGUCCAGGACCCAUGAGGCCCUCAGACACUGCCCUCCACCUGUGCUGUGUCUGGGUUCUUUUUUUUACCAGUGAAUAUUAUUUGAGCUGAAUCCACCAUCCCCUAGGCAACAGAUUAGAAUGGCUGGGGCACAGUUACCAGGAAUACACAUCAUGAUCACCAAGAUCAUCAUCAAGAUCACCAAGGAAUACACAUCAUGCACCCUUUACCCAGGUCUGCAUCUCCAUCAACAAUGACUCAACCAAGAGCCAGUUCUUUCUGAAGCUCAGCUCCAUGGCUGGCUAGGACAUGGCUGAGUAUUACUGUGAAAG
rnacentral:lncRNA from 1 species